ACGUGGGAAGGCUGUUUACGUGUCCAGAGGUAAAGCAGGCUGGAAGACUACUGUGCCUCGUUUCGAAUCACAAUGGAAGAUGAGUUUGACGUCAAUUUCAGUCUAUUUUCAGAUAAUACUCUAAAUGAGUUACGACACACAUCUGAUGAUGAUCUUGGCACAACCCAGCCUGUCUCACCCGAAGAGAGUGAAAAUGAUGCCCCCCCGCAUCUGAGACCCAAGCGCCCCCCUCAACCAAAAAGGCUAAAAGUAAGUCACACCAAUGUAUAAAUCUAUUUUAUGACAAUCAUCCC